rnacentral:misc_RNA from 1 species
AGCUGUUCCCCUCUGGAGGUUAUCCAACCUUCACAUCUCAAGGACCUCGGUUUGACCGCAGGUCCUUUUUUUUGCCCGCU